rnacentral:rRNA from 1 species
UACGUAGGUGGCAAGCGUUGUCCGGAAUUAUUGGGCGUAAAGCGCGCGCAGGUGGUUCCUUAAGUCUGAUGUGAAAGCCCACGGCUCAACCGUGGAGGGUCAUUGGAAACUGGGGAACUUGAGUGCAGAAGAGGAAAGUGGAAUUCCCAGUGUAGCGGUGAAAUGCGUAGAUAUUGGGAAGAAUACCUGAGGCGAAGGCGGGUUGCUGGGCCGACACUGACGCUGAGGCGCGAAAGCCAGGGGAGCAAACGGG